GGCUGUGCAGGAGAGUCCCUGGAUGGGAGGCUCCUUGGGGCAGACCGAGGAUUCCCAAAGAUAUCAUCCGGGGUCCCUGGUGGCCUGUGAGCUUCUUCCAGUGGUGGAGAACUGAUCCCAAAAUGCACAUCUUUUGCUGAAGGAAGCUGGAACGGGCCAAUGUAGUUGGGUUACAGGAUCCCUUGCCAUGUCCAUGUGAAUUACAAUUAAAAAAAGUGACUAGGAGCUGGCCCAGUGGCGCAGCAGAAGGGGUACAGAGGAAGCAACCCAAGUGCCCAUCAACACGUGAAUGGAUAAAGAAGAUG